rnacentral:rRNA from 1 species
GAUGAACGCUGGCGGCGUGCCUAAUACAUGCAAGUCGAGCGAACAGAUGAGGAGCUUGCUCCUCUGACGUUAGCGGCGGACGGGUGAGUAACACGUGGAUAACCUACCUAUAAGACUGGGAUAACUUCGGGAAACCGGAGCUAAUACCGGAUAAUAUAUUGAACCGCAUGGUUCAAUAGUGAAAGACGGUUUUGCUGUCACUAUAGCUGGAAUCCCGCCGCAUUAGUCAAUUUGUUAGGUAAAGGAGUAACCAGGCCACGAUGCGUACGCGACCUGAGAGGGUGAUCGGCUACACUGGAACUGAGACACGGUCCAGACUCCUACGGGAGGCAGCAGUAGGGAAUCUUCCGCAAUGGGCGAAAGCUUGACGGAGCAACGCCGCGUGAGUGAUGAAGGUCUUCGGAUCGUAAAACUCUGUUAUUAGGGAAGAACAAAUGUGUAAGUAACUAUGCACGUCUUGACGGUACCUAAUCAGAAAGCCACGGCUAACUACGUG